CCUACGGGUGGCUGCAGUGAGGAAUAUUGGUCAAUGGCCGGAAGGCUGAACCAGCCAAGCCGCGUGAAGGACGAAGGUGCCAAGCAUUGUAAACUUCUUUUGUCAAGGGACAAAAUCAGGCUCGAGAGCCUGACCGAGGGUACUUGAAGAAAAAGCAUCGGCUAACUCCGUGCCAGCAGCCGCGGUAAUACGGGGGAGGCGAGCGUUAUCCGGUUUUAUUGGGUUUAAAGGGUGCGUAGACGGGCUGUUAGGUCAGCGGUAAAAGCCCGGGGCUCAACCCCGGGGAGCCGUUGACACUGGCUGUCUUGAGAUGUCGUGAGGUAUGCGGAAUGCGCGGUGUAGCGGUGAAAUGCUUAGAUAUUGCGCAGAACUCCGAUUGCGAAGGCAGGAGACCGGCGGCGAUCUGACGCUGAGGCACGAAAGCGCGGGUAUCGAACAGGAUUAGAUACCCUAGUAGUC
rnacentral:rRNA from 1 species